rnacentral:rRNA from 1 species
GACGAACGCUGGCGGCGUGCCUAAUACAUGCAAGUAGAACGCUGAAGCGAGGAGCUUACUCUUCUUGGAUGAGUUGCGAACGGGUGAGUAACGCGUAGGUAACCUGCCUUGUAGCGGGGGAUAACUAUUGGAAACGAUAGCUAAUACCGCAUAACAAUGGAUGACACAUGUCAUUUAUUUGAAAGGGGCAAUUGCUCCACUACAAGAUGGACCUGCGUUGUAUUAGCUAGUAGGUGAGGUAAUGGCUCACCUAGGCGACGAUACAUAGCCGACCUGAGAGGGUGAUCGGCCACCCUGGGACUGAGACACGGCCCAGACUCCUACGGGAGGCAGCAGUAGGGAAUCUUCGGCAAUGGGGGCAACCCUGACCGAGCAACGCCGCGUGAGUGAAGAAGGUUUUCGGAUCGUAAAGCUCUGUUGUAAGUCAAGAACGGGUGUGAGAGUGGAAAGUUCACACUGUGACGGUAGCUUACCAGAAAGGGACGGCUAACUACGUG